UACGAGGGGGGCGAGCGUUAUUCGGAUUCACUGGGCGUAAAGGGCGCGCAGGCGGCCGUGUGUGUGAGGCGUGAAAGCCCGGGGCUUAACCCCGGAAUUGCACCUCAAACUACACGGCUAGAGCAUUGGAGAGGGUAGCGGAAUUCACGGUGUAGCAGUGAAAUGCGUAGAUAUCGUGAGGAACACCAGAGGCGAAGGCGGCUACCUGGACAAUUGCUGACGCUCAGGCACGAAAGCGUGGGGAGCAAAAGGG
rnacentral:rRNA from 1 species